UGCAAGUCGAGCGGACAGAUGGGAGCUUGCUCCCUGAUGUUAGCGGCGGACGGGUGAGUAACACGUGGGUAACCUGCCUGUAAGACUGGGAUAACUCCGGGAAACCGGGGCUAAUACCGGAUGGUUGUUUGAACCGCAUGGUUCAGACAUAAAAGGUGGCUUCGGCUACCACUUACAGAUGGACCCGCGGCGCAUUAGCUAGUUGGUGAGGUAACGGCUCACCAAGGCGACGAUGCGUAGCCGACCUGAGAGGGUGAUCGGCCACACUGGGACUGAGACACGGCCCAGACUCCUACGGGAGGCAGCAGUAGGGAAUCUUCCGCAAUGGACGAAAGUCUGACGGAGCAACGCCGCGUGAGUGAUGAAGGUUUUCGGAUCGUAAAGCUCUGUUGUUAGGGAAGAACAAGUGCCGUUCAAAUAGGGCGGCACCUUGACGGUACCUAACCAGAAAGCCACGGCUAACUACGUGCCAGCAGCCGCGGUAAUACGUAGGUGGCAAGCGUUGUCCGGAAUUAUUGGGCGUAAAGGGCUCGCAGGCGGUUUCUUAAGUCUGAUGUGAAAGCCCCCGGCUCAACCGGGGAGGGUCAUUGGAAACUGGGGAACUUGAGUGCAGAAGAGGAGAGUGGAAUUCCACGUGUAGCGGUGAAAUGCGUAGAGAUGUGGAGGAACACCAGUGGCGAAGGCGACUCUCUGGUCUGUAACUGACGCUGAGGAGCGAAAGCGUGGGGAGCGAACAGGAUUAGAUACCCUGGUAGUCCACGCCGUAAACGAUGAGUGCUAAGUGUUAGGGGGUUUCCGCCCCUUAGUGCUGCAGCUAACGCAUUAAGCACUCCGCC
rnacentral:rRNA from 1 species